UACGUAGGUGGCGAGCGUUGUCCGGAGUUACUGGGCGUAAAGCGCAUGCAGGCGGCUCAUUACGCAUGGCGUGAAAGCCCCCGGCUCAACCGGGGAGGGUCGUCGUGAACGGGUGAGCUUGAGGGUAUCAGGGGCUGGUGGAAUUCCCGGUGUAGUGGUGAAAUGCGUAGAUAUUAGGAGGAACACCGGUGGCGAAGGCGGCUUUCUGGACUGUAACUGACACUGAGGCACGAAAGCGUGGGGAGCAAACAGGAUUAGAUACCCGCGUAGUCCCU
rnacentral:rRNA from 1 species